ACCAUCCUUUUCUUGGGGCUAGGUUACUGCCCAGUGAGCACAUGGUGAGGGCAGAGCUGCUGACACCGACACAAAAUUCCUGCAUCAGCUACAGCUUUGCUUUACCUUGGCACAGUUUUUGGAAAA
rnacentral:ncRNA from 13 species